GUGUUGCCUUAGUUUUGCAGGUGUCAGGCGCUGGAUGGCCAGUGAUUAGCGAGCGACAGUGGUAUGCGGCGAUGGGCAUGCGCCAGAGGCUGCGGCGCUGGAGGCUGACCCUGGCUAGGGUUUUUUCUUUUGCUGAAAUUUUUUAAAAAAUGUGGGCUGGUUAUUUUGGGCUUAGGGUUAAUGUGAUUUGGGCUAGACUUUGGGUUUUGGUCUAUUUGGGUUUGGGUUAUUUUAUUUGUAAUGGGCUGUUAACUCUUUUGGUUUAAUUUGGGCCCCGGUCAAAAUGGGUUUUUGCAGCUGCCCCUCUUUGCUUGUUGUCGUGUAACGAGAAUGCAACAAAGACUUUUAAUA
rnacentral:lncRNA from 1 species